rnacentral:rRNA from 1 species
CUAUCCGCUGUGCGCGUAGGAAUAUUGAGAAGGGCUGUCCCUAGUACGAGAGGACCGGGACGGACGAACCUCUGGUGUGCCAGUUGUUCUGCCAAGGGCAUGGCUGGUUGGCUACGUUCGGGAGGGAUAACCGCUGAAAGCAUCUAAGCGGGAAGCCUGCUUCGAGAUGAGUGUUCCCACCUCCUUGAGAGGGUAAGGCUCCCAGUAGACGACUGGGUUGAUAGGCCGGAUAUGGAAGCCCUGUAAGGGGUGGAGUUGACCGGUACUAAUAGGCCGAGGGCUUGUCCUCAGUUG